rnacentral:tRNA from 2 species
GGGGGCGUGGUCUAGCGGUUUAUGACACCGGCCUUUCACGCCGGGGAUCGCGGGUUCGAAUCCCGUCGCCCCUA